UGUGGUGGUGCUGGUGUAAACAAACCCACUGUGCUCCCAGCCCUUCUCAUUUACUCACCACUCACCCACCAACUCACACAGAGCAACUUUCAGUCCUGCAAACUCUAUUCACGACAAUAAUAUACAAGAAAUUUCUCUAAGAGGAGAGAAAGGAGAGAGAUCAUGGCAGAUGGGACAGAGACCUCAUACAGAUUUGUUGAAUUGCAACAUUAUGGGAGGUGCAAGUCACAUUUUUGGAAGAACAAGUCACAUUAUGUUGGAAUAUAUUUCUACAAGU